GUCUCGUGCAAGUGUUUGGGUCUCGGGACAUGGUGUAUUCUAUCUACCAGCAACAUGUCUGCAGGAAUUUCUGGAGCAUAUGCGUGGAGCAGGCUUCUCGUGUACGCAGGUAAGUCGGCAGAUUGAAUGCUCUCAGGAACCCCCCGAAGCCUCAGAUUGUUUCUGUGGGCUCAGUCUUCGUUGUCCAUGAGUUUAGGUUGCAUGAUAGGG